CGCAUAAGCAGCACGCGAGACACACGCAUAGUUUAUUCCUAUACCUUCAUUUGCUUCGUUAAUUUUUUGUUGUAAAUCUUGUAUUUGUGUAUUACGCAAAGUUAAAAAUUCACUACUCUUGGAUCCUGAUUGACCACUGGUUUAUUCUUAAUUUUUCGCGCACGGUCAGCAUACCUUAAAGUGCUAAGUGUUUCAUCCAUAUUAUAAUCUAUGUAAGAAACAUAUUAUAUAAAAUUUCUACAGAUAGAAAUGGAAUCAGUUACGCAUUGGAUAUUUAAAAAUCAAACACGCACCAAUUAAACUAGGCUGGCCAACUUUACGUUCAAGAAAAGAACUUUCGCUGCGCUCCUAUAGAGGCGCUGGUAUUCAUCAUACGGUUUGGACCGUGUUCUGAAAAUAUAUCUAGCGCAUAUUUAUAAGAAAAGAGUCAAUAAUUGUUGAUAACAGAGAAUUUAAU